rnacentral:rRNA from 1 species
UACGGGGGGGGCAAGCGUUGUUCGGAAUUACUGGGCGUAAAGCGCGCGCAGGUGGUCUUUCAAGUCAGUGGUGAAAGCCCGGAGCUCAACUCCGGAAAUGCCAUUGAAACUGUAAGACUUGAGGAUGAGAGAGGUGAGUGGAAUUCCCAGUGUAGAGGUGAAAUUCGUAGAUAUUGGGAAGAACACCGGUGGCGAAGGCGGCUCACUGGCUCAUAUCUGACGCUCAGGCGCGACAGCGUGGGGAUCAAACAGG